rnacentral:lncRNA from 1 species
UUUUUUUUUUUUUUUUUUUUUUUUUUUUUUUAAUUCUCCCUUUCUUCCAGUCCCAUUGCCACAUUUCCGGAUGGUUCAAAAUUCCAACUUCUCUAUGAAAAGAUAAUAUCCAUUAUGUCCUACACUUCUCUCUUACAUUUUUCCACCAUUAUGGUACUCAUUUCAUUCUCCCUUAAAGUAAUAUUAGCAAUCUACAUGUUUAAUCUCAUGUCUAGAUCUUAUUGACUCCAAGAGUUAAGUUGGUUUCACUUUUCUAUUCUCUUAGUGUCCAGUAUGGAACUUUCACCUGAUUGAAGCUCAAAACAUGGUUGCUGAAUUCACAAAUAAGCUCCCCUGUCAGGUAGAGAGCAUCUUUUUCUCCAAGGUGUGGACCAGUGUAAGGAAACCCAUGCCUACCACACUAUGGAGAAGUGGGUUUUCUUUUCUCUCAUGAAUAUAAAGUACUCAAUCUAUGACAUCCUUUAGUGAGUGUGACUUGAUUCAUGUGAACCUGUGACAUUGAAAUGCAUACCUUCUGAUUUUGAAACACUACUCUACAGUAAAUGGCUCAUCCAUUUAUCCAACACACAUCUGUAGAAAACACAAAACAUGUAGCAGGCCCUUGAUGAAUAGAUUCAGUCCCUAUCUGUCAAACCUCAAAGUCUAGAGGAGACCCAUAGAAAAAUAAUUAUCCUCUCUUUAGGGAAAUAUAACAAUUUAGAUAUAUACAAAGUACUUUUGUGCCCUGAAACAGGUUCUCUCUAGAGAAAAGACCUCAUUCAAAUGAUGAUGAGGCUCUUUUCACAAUGUACUGAUUUUACCAGGGACUUCGUAGCAUUAUUUUAUAUCCAGCCUUCUGCAUACAGCAGCCCCAGCUACUGGAGUCCCCAGUCUCGAGGAAAGUCCUUUGGGCCAAGAAUUGGAAAAUCAGCAUGGAAGUAAUUGCUUGAAUAUCCAUUUCCUCAAGCCGUGGUUUCUUUGCCUUUCUGUGCAGGUUACAAGAUGAUUAUGCGUGAACAAAAACAGAAGGUACAUACUGGCAGGAAACAAAAGCACGUUAAACCAUGGAGAUUUCCUCUUACAUAAACCUGCCAUUUGUUAAGCAGUUGCUGUCUGUUCCACAGGGAAGCUGGCAAAAACUUGAUACAAACAUUCUCCAACUGCACUGGGAGGAAUAAGUGAAGGUAACACCUUUUUAAGAAGGGCAUACAAAGAGAUAAAAGAUCUACCUAGGGACUUACUCAAACCUAGAUGCUACCAUUGUACAAAAUGUUACCAAGUCUACCUAUAUCUAACUAUAGUUCUGAUAAAGAGGGAAGUGAUGUUUUAAUUUGGGAAAACACACUUAAUCAAACAUGUAAAUGAGAUUCUGAAUUAAAAUUCAUAUGUAUUUUCUCUCACUAUCUAUCAACGUGCUAGAAAAAUAAAAUUGCCUUCUUUGGAAGGACAGGGGCAA